GGCUAUACGCGGAGCCGUUUGUCCUAAAGAGGGCGCUGGGGUAAUAGUGGUUAUUGAAGAUAGCCUCGUUUUCGCGUCCGUGUAGAAAUGGCUUUAGAGUAUGGGAAGCAAACGGUAGCGAAGUUAAAACUUCAACUAGUUGAAAGAGGAGCCUCCACAAGAGGAAAGAAACAGGAUUUGAUAGAAAGGUCACAGAGAAGGAAGUGUCAGAACUUGAAAACAGAACUAGAGGCCAAAGUUAAAGUCGAGUGUGGCAUGAAGAAAGAUCAUGGAGAAUAACAGCAUCGAGGUUUGGUGAUAUUUUGAACGCAACCAAAAGACGAGACAAGGACAAAUUAUGCCAGUCACUCCUGUUUACCCAUGAAAUCAAUACUCCAUAUUUCUUAUAAUUUACAGACAUAUAGUCGUCAACAAUGUCACAUUCUGGCCAAAUGUUCAUUUCACUGAGCUGGAAAAACAUAAAGUUGCUUAUUAUUUCUGACACCGUUGUUACCGAUAGCUUGAAACGGAGAGCUAAAUAAUAAUUGUCAAAGGCUUGUCUCCAUUUAAUAAUGGUAAAAAAACAUUGGUCCUCUGGUGACAAACAUUUGAAAUUCAAGUGGUGAGCUGCUGGCCCAAGGCAAUUGAAAAACAACAUGAAGUGUCCAAAAUGACUAAAUCCAGUUAGAUACUGGGCAGCCUUUGCAUUUUUCUGGUACAGCAUGAUGCUUUCUCUUGUGUCUGAUGGUGUAGUGAUAUCACACUGGGAAGCUGUACUUUCUUUUUGGCUCUCACCAGGGCAGUCUUCAUGUUUGUCUUCCACUGCUUCAUCUGCUUGAGACUCAACCUAUAGGAUACAACAAAAAAUAAAUACAGAAGUUGAUAACUUACACAAAGAAAAAUACUUCAUGUAUUAAUUAACACAUAAAAUCAGUGUAGAUGACAGAAAUGACGCAGAUCUGACUGCCUCUUUAGUGCGUCUCUAGUAUUUCUAGUAUUUACACAGAUAAUUAUACAAAUAAAAAGAAACAUUUUAUUUAUAAAUUUGUUAUUAUACCAUGC